AUAAAUUUGUUAGUCUCUAAGGUGCCACAAGUACUCCUGUCCUUUCUGUACUGUGACCAAGAUCUGUUGCUUCAUAUGAAGGUAAAGAUAUCCAUAAUGCAUCUGGCCAACUGUGCUGUUGCUCCCAGAAGUGCUAAUGCUGCCCCAGUCUGAGAGGUUUUGCCUGUGUAUUCUGAGAGCCAUUAAGAACUGGUUAGCAUUAGACCAAGUACCCUCCUACAGAAACGGGCAACAGGAGUGAGUUUGGGAUGGAUGGACAUCCCUACCUCCUGGGGCACUUCUGGGGAGAGAGGAUAAACAUGUUUCCCUGUUCAGAGUUCAUGUGAUGCUCCGUCAGAGCUGAGGAAUUCAACGCCAGUGCAAGAGGGAGAAGUGUGCCCCAGAAAGGCCUUGAAGACUGACCCAAGUUUAUUGCUGCUGUAACUCGGGAUGUCACCCUGUUGCCCCAGGGCUGAACUUGACCCUAGCAAAGCAGGCUUGUAUUGAAUGGGGUGCUGUAAUAGGUAGCUGCAGCAGUGAAGCUGGAAAGGGACUGAGGCAAAUAAUUCUCAGGGGAGCAGAUUGGCUUUGUUGUCAAGGUGACAGGAAAUGGACUUGGAGUGGUAAGAACUGGGCUGCCAAAUGAGUAAAAAAAAUUAAUCACAAUUAAUCAUGAGAUUAAAAAAAAGUCAUGAUUAAUUGCAGUUUUAAUAGCAUUGUUAAACAAUAAUAGAAUACCUUUUAUUUAAAUAUUUUUGCCAAUAGUUUUGGUUUGGUGGGUAUGGAAGAGCGCUGUCUUUUUCAGCAUAGCACUUUUCAGCCAGCAGCAGCUGUUGUCAGCAGCACUCACUUCUGAGCUGCCAGCAGCAGCAGACAGGUUCCCCCGUUCCCUGGCCUCAGCUCAGUGGUGACCAGCUACAUGGGCGAGGGGAGGGGAAUACCCCAGCAUCAGCCUCCACACCCCCACUCUGCACAGGAGGCUGGCUCCCAGUCAGGAGCAGCUUGGCCAGGGGCAAAGAGGUGGGAUCCACAGUGGAGGAGGGCGGCAGGAGAUGGGGCACCCUGCCCCAGAGGCAUGCAGCAGCACCCCCUGAGCAUGGUGCCUUGGGCAGUGACCCCCUUUGCCCAGCAGGUGCCUCCUUACCUGGCCACCACUGAGUCCCAUCUGCAGAGAUGUGUGAUUAACGCUCAUUAAAAAAGUGUUAAUUUUUGAGUUAAUCGCAUGCAUUAACUGAGAUUGGCAGUUCUAGUAAGAAUAUAAGAAUGGUCAUACUGGUCAGACCAGAAUCCAUCUAGCCCAGUAUCCUGUCUUUUGAUAGUGGCAGGUUCCAGAUGCUUCAGAGGGAGUGAACGGAACAAGGCAGUUUGAGUGAUCCAUCCCUUGUUGUCUAGUCCCAUCUUCUAGCAGUCAGAGGUUUAGGGACAUCUAGAGCAUGGUAAGGUUGACUGAGUCCUGGAGCUGAGAGGUGUAAAAUGGAUGGAGCUAGUGCUGCACUUGAGGGUCCUGCUCUUAACAAAUAGGAUGAGCAGCUUGAAUGUUCAGUGAGAAUUUUUAGCGUUUGUCUCUGUGGGUUUGUGUUUGUAGUCAUCUGUGUGCAGGUAAGUUAGGGACAGCCCAGGGACCUAUGGCCAUAGGUCCCUCAGUGAUACUGAUUGGAGUCUCCUGUUAAGACCCUAUGCAAAUACACUUGUCUGUGCUGACAGCAGUGCUCAACCCUGCCAGGCCUAUUUGCUCACUGCACUCUCCAUUCCGCAAUACAUGGUAGGUGUUGGCUCUGAGAGGCUGGGUGUGGAACUGCUCAUUGAACUUUCCCCCAGGAUUUUGCCGUCUCAAGCAGGUGACACUGAUGAAGCUAGAGAGAAACUAAUCUUGACAGUUGUUGGAUUUGUGGGGUGUGAGAUUGGCUUGUAAUGAUAACACUGUGUUCCUUCUCCAGGCCAGUGGAACUGUGUCCAUGGGUGUGCUAUAAAGGCAGACUUUUAGGUGCCUACAAAGCAAUAGAACGAAUCCCAGCUCAGGAAGGCAGACCUAGCCCCAGAUCCUGUUUGGCAAGAGCAAAGAAGCUUUGAGGAUAAUGACACCACCCCACUACUGUGCUUCCUACCAAGAAGUCAGCUGCUAAGAGGAACUGCAAUAAGCUUCCCCACAUAGGGCAUGAUGGGUUCUCUUUUGCUUCAUAAACAGCCAACAUCGAGUUAAUUCAGUAGCAGGUUGUGUGACUUGCUUACAUGGAUGGAACGUGAGGGAUGGAUGAGUGCAGGUAUCUCGCCCUUUACAGCUGGCUGGGAAUCUUAAUGGGAGAGAAUAGUAAAGGGACAAAUGGUGUGAUAGUGCAAAAUGAUGGAUGUGUCCUCAGUAGAUAAUGUCCACCACAUCAUCAGCAGGAAAUGCUUAACAAUGAAAGCAGCAGUGCUACACAAGGAGCCUAGCAGAACAGUUGUGUGUGUGUUUGGUGCUAGACUACAGCAAGCAUGAUCUGGAAACCAGUCCCAAGAAUUACUCCACUGUUGGGGGUGUUAAAUCAUGAUGGGAUACAAACAUAUGCCCUAAUCUUAAAAUCCAGGAAGAUGGCUGGACAGACACACAAUACUAAAGUUCACUGAAGUUACCUCCUCUCUCUUCCAUGGAUCCCAACCAACCCAUUGCCCUAGAAAGGAGCAGCUGGGGAGGGAGGAAGGAUUUCUAGCCAUGUCCAUAAAAGGGGCUGAACAGUUUGUUCACCUUCUAGAAUUUGGGAAGAUGGCAGUGUCAGGCUACAGCAAGUGGCCACUGGACUAGAACAACAAGGCAGAGUCAAUCUCCUAUGUAGUAACUGCUGUGCUGCCCCCCUCCCCCCGUUCUCUUACCACAGAGCACUUUAUUCCUCUUACCUCCCAAGUGCUUCUGUGCUGUGAACAAGGUAUAGGGCCUACUUUUAAAGGAAACUCCAGGGGAUGGUGAAUUGUGCAGAGGCACCUACCUAGGCAAUGGCAGACAGCAGCUUGGCUGUACCUAAUGCCAGGUUCUGCCAGCUACUUUCUCCCUCCAACACAGCAAGCAGUAGCUGCUUCACUAGUGUUGUACAAUUUUGCAGUGCCUGAUGGAUAGGGCAAAAGACAUUUGAGACCAUGUUGGAAAAAAAAGCCUGCUCUGUGCUUGGCUUAGAAUCAGCACCACAGCCUCAUCAUUUUGUGCUCUAAUUCAGACAUGGUGCAUGUAUACAGACCCAUCCUCUUUGGCCUCACACCUCAUUGAGAUGGGCAAGAGCAGCACCCUAUAAGGAUCUCCUUUAAAAGAAGCAAUCACCUACUGGAAAAGACACUCACUCCAUGAAUACAGGUCUGGCUACAGAAGCCACCCUUCAAUCCCCAGCAUCCUCCAUACCCCACUUCUCCAUCAACUUCUGCAGUGCAGUGCCUAAGCCAGAAACUGGAGAUUAGAGCCCAGCUCCCUGUCCUGCCACAUCCUUGACUCCAUGGUGUAAACAGGAAUAGGUUGGGUCCAUCAGUACUGAGAGCAGAGCUGGGAUCUUGUGGGAGCUGAGACCCACAGAGCCAGCAGGAUAGUCACACCUUUGCCCGAAGCUGAAACUUGAAGGAAAAUCUAGGUUAGUGUCAAAUCUCCCCAAUGCUGCGGAGAGCAGAGUCUUCCUGCUGUGACCCAAUGAACUGCAGGGCAGAGCAGCCAUUACUAGAGAGGACCUCAUCAGGGACAGUGAACAGUUCUCUCCUUCUGCCUCUGGUAAUCUGGAAUGGGAAAGCAGGCAUUAGUGUGGCUGAUGGAGUAGGACACACAGAGAAUGGGCUCAGGUGGUGCUAUUUGAAUGCAGGCAUUGCUCUAUAUGGAACCAUGUCCUGUCAGUAGUAGUGAGGAAAUUGCUACUACACUAAGGGUGACAAGUCUAAGGUCCAGGAUCAGCCUGAAUACAAGACUCACAGGACUGCUCUCUAGCAAUUGAUUUUAAUGGCAUGUUUGUUGGCAGCUUAGCCACUUCAUUCCUAAAUUCCUUCAGCACUCUUGGAAGUAGAGCAAAAUCUAGGGAUUUGGUGCCCUUUGAUUUGUCAGCUUGUUCUAGCACUUCCCUUUGACACUCCAGUCAAGACACCUGAUCUUAACUAAGGUGAGGCACUAUCUCACACCACCUUCCAUCAUGAAGACAGAUGUAAAGAAAUCACUUAGCUUCACUGCAGUAUCCUCUUCUUUUAGCUACCCCUUUUGAUUUCCUGAUAGGACUUGUGGGGUUUAACACUCAGGCAUCCUACAUCUCAGAUUUAAAGGAUAUCUUUCUGGUUGUGGCCCUGGCUAUUUGCUCUGUUUAAUUUCCAUCCAAUUCGACUGCCAUAGUUUGCUUCUCUCUGAUGGCCUCAUUAGGGUUGGAUUUCCAUUUUCUGCAGGAUACUUGUUUGGCUCCAAUAACCUCGAACAUGUCAUUUGACCACCUGUGUGUUUUCUUACAUCUUUGUACCUUGGUUGCUUAGCAUGCAGAGUCCUAAGGCUUUAAAAUUUGCUCAUGUUGAUCAGUCUCCUUUUUAAAAAAUCUCCCUUCUAAAGAGCCACCACUAUGUGGCACCUUUCCUCCCCUGAGAAAGUUUAACAAUUGCAGCCACUGUUAGUUAUUCAAAUUAUAUCUACUGAACCAAUUCCUGAGUUAAGACUAAUUGCUGCUUGUGUGCUCUAGAUCUAGCUGUUCCAAGAACCUGUUUAAGCUGGUUAGUUGUUUGUUUAAACCUUGUCUUGCUAGGACGUGACCAGUUUAUAUGCAGUUACUUGAUGUCACCCAUUUACUGUUGUAUUUGACUAGUGUAAAAUCUUGAGAGAUCAAAGCAACAAUUGUUUCUGAUCAGCAGCCUGCUACUCUAAUCCUAUGUUUGACUCUAGCUUUUUAGUAUUUGUUUAGCUGGGGUCAGCACAGUCUCUUGCUAGGAUGCAAGGCAUCAGGCUUCACCAUCAGGAUUUCAGAAGCAGCUGAGUCAUGGGAGAGGGAACUAACAUGCACUUACUGUAGGGGAAGUAACGCACUCGCAUGAUGAUCUCACGGGCAGUCUUGAGGAUCUCGACAGCCUGGAAGCAGCAGCAAGGGAGUCACUAAGUUAACAGAUUGGACUGGCAGAAAUUAGUUCUAAAGAGCCUGCCCCCAUGCCACCCCUCAAACCCAGCUAGAGGUUCCAACCCCCAGCACACAACUUGCACUGAUUACUACUGUUGCUGCUCUAAGUGCAAUGCUUUAGCAUCCAUUCAACUUCUGUGGGUCAGGCCUGAAUCAUAACAUAUUAAGGAAGGGAUGGUGGGCUUCUCCCCUACCCAUCCUAUAGCAGGCUUGUGAUGACCAAUUCUGUGCUUUUUCUCUUUUAGGGUUGCUCACUUCUUUAAAUCAAGAGCGAGCUCUUACCGAAGAAUCUCACAGUAGACAAGGAUCAUUCUCCUAGUUUAUAGGUGGGGAGAUGGGAGCUGCCCACGGGCACACUGAGUCAGGAAUAGAACUAGGAAUAGAGGUCUAGGAGCAUGCCUCCUAGACUUGCUCUAGCUAAUAGACAAAGCUGUAAAGUAAAUGCCACACUGCAGGUUAGUGCAGGCUGGGGUGAUGCUGUGAGGGGGCAGGAUCAGCUCUCCUCACUUCCCUUAAACCCUUUUCUAUGUAUCUCAAAUCGAUACAAGCAGUAUAUGACCCCCUAGCAGCAGCAGGGGGAGCUCUUACCUUGCUGUGCUCAAUGUCCUGGAAAUCUACAUCAUUAACUGCCAGGACCUGGUCUCCCUCCUGUAGCCCUGCUCUGUGUGCAUCUGAGUCAGGGAUCACCUGGAAAUGGAAGAGAAAAGAUGGUCAAGUCAGUCAAACCAACAUAUCAGACUAUGGAGAGCCACUAGUCCACAGUUCCCUCCCCAAACAGGUCAAGGCAGACCCCCAGAGCUCUGUAGUACCACUCAGCCUCUAUAUUUCCCCUUUGUGGUGUCCACCUCUGCUCCCCUCAAAACAGUAGGGCAUGGGGUUUGGGUCAGAACUGAGGUUCAUUAGAGCUACAGGGAUAAGGGGUUGGAAUCAGAUGUGCUAUGGUCCAGGUUGUCCCCACUUGCUGAUCCUUUGGCAGUUGGUAGUUCACAGCAACGGGUGCUAGAGCUCCAGGUAGUGUCUAAAUCAGCCCCAAAUAAGUAAACUCUGCUGGUUUAGCUUGUCCAAAAAGCACUAGACAGCUAGACAAAGUGGCAGAGAGAAUGGCAAAGGGACUGAUGUACCUUGGAGAUGAAGAUCCCCAGCUGGGAGGCCUUUCCUCCUCGAAUGUUGAAGCCCAGCUGUGAGAAGAAAAUAGGAUUAGUAGUUGAGUGGAAUGUGAACAACUGCCAGCUACUGGGACUUCUGCUCCAGUGGCAGCAGGGGAAGGCAUUCAGAACCUGCAGCUGUUACCCAUGGGUUCAGACAACACCCUGAAGCAUUCAGUGUCUCUACUGGCACCUCUAUGGCAACCCUUGCAUCCCCCUGUGAAGCAUCAUCCCCAUUUUACAGCUGGGGAGUGGAGGUAGAGGUCAGUGACCCAGUUGGGAAUUUAACCCCAAGCUUUUCUCAGUCCCAACCCUGUGCUUCAACCACAAGACAUCCACUGCCUGGGGGGGGGAUAAGUGUCAGCCAUCGCCCAAGAACAGGCCAGCAGAACUCUCAUGCCCUGCCCCCCAAUUUCUAGGGGCAAUUUCAGUUUAUUAUCUAGGAAACAUUUUAACAAGUGAUAAAAGUAGGAGAGGGAGUCACCCUGGUAACAGGAGCCCCAUUCCCAGGGGCAGCAGGUUUGUAUAAUUUUUGGUGAUGCCCAAAAUGGGUCCAAGUCUGCCCCUGCAACUGCCUAAGGUUCUGGGAGGGAGUUUGGAUGCAGGCUCUGGGCUGGGGCAGGAGGUUGGGAGGGGUGUGAUGUGGCUCCUGGGCAGGGGUCUCCUCAUGCUGCUGCCUGCAGGCACCACCGCCACAGCUCCCAUUGGCCACAGUUCCAAUGGCAGAGUUGGGGCGGGGGCAGCGCACAGAGACACACCCGCACUCCCAGGGGCCGCAGGGAUGUGCCAGCCACUUCCAGGAGUGGUGUGCUGCAUGGAGUGAGGGCGGGAAGGAAGACGCUUUAGCCUCGCUGUGCUGCUGGUGGUGGCGGCAGCCCCUGAGGCCCUUUUAAAAUCGCUCAGGGACUGGGAGAUGCUCUGGGGGAGGCAUGCAGGGAUGGUGGGAGAGACCAGCCCCUGAACGUUGGUGGAGCCGAGCCCGUCCUCUGAAUAUUUCUGGAGCACAGGCCCAUACAACUCGCUGCCACUGCCUCCAAAAUGUCUCCCUUAGCAUGUGCAGAAGGAUGAUAUCCUUCUCAGAGUGUGGUGUGGGGUUACCUCCUCCCACCAACAUCUCUCUACAUGGACUGGUCUCCAAGCAGGACUUUUCACCUCUCAGUGGAAUGAGAUUGUUGUACAAGGGGCUGGAGAGGUGAGCCUGAACUGAUCCUUCACUGCCAACAGCUUCUCUAGGAAGCGGUAGAUGAAGACAGUAUUUGUGUAUGAUCCAUAUCUCCCAUCCCCUGAGGCCAUGGGGCAUAUUGUGCCUUAGAGCCCUGGAGUGAAGCAAACCUGCCACAGCAGAACAAGAACAUACUAAAGCAGCAGACUGCACACAUUGAUGCCAGGCCUCAACCAGCAGUCAACCCUACCUGGGCCUGUAGAAAAGGCUAGUGCCAUGCCCUCAGAGUUCUCACCUGAGCCCCAGGAGGCUUCUUCAGCACAAUA